rnacentral:misc_RNA from 1 species
AGAUACCAGUAUCCGAGCUUUUGCGAUAUAACUGUGUUACUUUUUUUACUUUUUAGUGAUUAUAUAUAUACGUACGUAAUUUAGCCAAUUGUAAUUAAUUGUAUUGGUACAUUUUUUGUGACAAAAUAUCAUAUCAAUAAUACAAAAACAGAAUAUGAUUGACGAAGAAUUCCAAUACGAUGUAAAAGUGAUAAAUGCAUUUAAGAGUUAUGGAGAAACUAAAGUACUUAAUGGAUUGAAUAUGAAUGUGACAGAAGGUUCUAUAUAUGGCCUUUUGGGACCGAGUGGAUGUGGUAAAUCGACACUUCUUCAAUGUAUAAUGGGAUCAAUGGAAUUGGAUUCAGGAUGUAUUGCCUUGAAAGCAAUAAAUUUAAAAGAUGUGGGAUAUAUGCCUCAAAGUUUAUGUUUGGAAAGCACACUGACCAUAAGAGAACUAUUUGAAUACUAUGGAACACUUUACAACAUGAACAAGAAAGACAUCGAGAUAAAAAAAGAGGAGCUUAUUGCAUUCUUACAGUUACCAAAUUUAAAUAGUUUGAUAAAAGAUAUAAGUGGUGGCCAAAGUAGAAGAGUAUCUCUUGGUGUUUGCUUAUUGCAUAAUCCUAAGCUUAUUAUAUUGGAUGAACCUACGGUUGGAAUUGAUCCUUUACUAAGACAAGAAAUUUGGAAUGGGUUUUUAAAGAUGGUCGUAGAACAACAUAAGACAAUCAUAAUAACAACUCAUUAUAUUGAAGAAGCAAAUCUAGCUAAUCGUAUUGGUUUAAUGAGAAAUGGAGUACUGGUAGAAGAAGGAGCUCCUGAGCACAUUAUUUCCAAAUAUGGAGCAGAUUCGUUGGAAUCAGCUUUUUUAACCUUAUGUUCUAAUCAAGAUGUAAAUGAAGCACCAAUAGUAUAUUUUGAUAAACUACCUACAGAAGUUCAAAAAACGGAUAAGAUGCAGUCAACAAAAUUAAUGGAAGCUGGUAAAAAAGUUGAUUUUGUAAGAAUUAAAGCUUUGCUUAAAAAGAAUAUUCGUGCAUUAUAUCGUGAUUACUGGUUAUUGUUUACUUUGUGUCUUCUUCCCAUCAUACAAAACACCAUCUUUUGUAGUAGUAUUGGAGGAAGUUUUAAACGAAUGGAAGUAGCAAUACAAAAUGAUGAAAUUAAUAUAAAUGAUUGCAAAUAUUUUAACUCCAGUAAAUGCAUUUUUGAAAAUAAUUCAAGUCAAACAAUGAGUUGCGUUACUAUAAACUAUCUUGCGUCACUUGACUAUAAAUUAGUUGAAGUCAAAGAUCGUUAUACUGGUGAAAUGCUCGUGAACAAUAGCAAAUUUUUAGCAUUUAUACAUUUUCCAAAGAGCUAUACCCAAGACAUGAUCAUGUUUAUUGACCGUCGUAAAGAAUAUGGUAUGCAAUCGCUGGCGUACAUGUAUUUUGCCAAACAUAAUAUGUUGUUUAAAAAUCAAAUAGUGAUGGAUGUAACAAAUGCAAUCCAUUAUCUAAUGCAGACAACUUUAUAUAGUUGUUCCAAUAAUCCACAAAUAGCUACUUUGCCCAUGGAGUUCAACAUAUUAUAUGGAAAGGAUGUGAAAAAUCACGGUAACAGUACAGCGGCGAUUUUCAUAGCAAUGUCUACUUACUGCUGGAUUAACACCAACUAAAUAUUUUGGUGUUCAUAUUAUGAAUGGCUGGGCUCUAUCUCAGAUGUUAUUAUCGGGUGGGGUAUGGCCAAUUGAUGGACAGGCAAAGUUAUUGAGGUCGGUAUCUGAGUUACUUCCUAUGCGGUUAGCCGGGAAAACAAUGAACGACAUAGUAUUGAAAGGUUGGACGUUGUAUCAUCCAU